rnacentral:lncRNA from 1 species
UUCUGCCAUGUUUCUCCUUUACAUUUACACACACACAUGCUUCAUCAUUUCAACCACAAAACACACACAAUUCCUACCCAUGUGUGUGUGUUUCCUUUGCCCAUUGAAGGGAAAUCUAUGAGAUUCAUGGAUGGGAUUUCUAAAUGACUAUCAUGCAUAUACAAAUCAAAUUUAAUAUACGAAAACAGCGGAAGCAUUUAAAACAAAUUAUCAAAGCUAUAGUCAUGCAAAUCCCCUUCAAGGUUCAUAGGUUUAUAUAUAAUGCAUCAAAUAAAAUUUUAGAGAAAAAAACAAAGUGAAGGUUUAGUCUUAUACCUUUUGAUCUAGACUUGAGACCAAGGAUGGACCACCUCCAAGCCCUUUGUUCCUUGAACUCCUUGAGCCUAGCUUCCCUCUUUGCCUCCUUCACUUUGAUAGAAUGAGUGCUCCUAGGUUCUCUUCAAGUUUCCAAAGUAGGAAACCUCUAAAGAUCCUCACCCACUAGUGUAGUGAGAAGGAUGAAGGAAUAACCAAAGGGUGAAAGAUAUGUUAGUAAAAUCACCCCAAGGUGGCCGGCCUUUGUGUAGUUCUUAGAGAGAUAUUCUUUUGCCUCUUUGUUGUUUUUAACCACACAAAAACCCUUAUGAACAAUAUCUUAUAAAGUUCCUUAUAUAGACAAAAGAAACCUAGUCAACAACUUGACUAAAUAUCUCACCCUUUCCACCUAAAGUGGCCGGCCCUCUUUGUGUUGUUUGGGCUUUGGGCUUUCAUUUAUUUCAAGUCAUCCAAUGCUUGAAUAAAAGCCCAAUGGGUUUAGGCCCAAUGGGCCCAAUUAAACCCGAACGUUUCUUUAAGCCCAAAACGAUCUUUAUCGCUUUUAUGAUUUCUUUAGACUUUCUAAAUUAAUCACAACACAUAAUUAAUCCAAUUAAUUGUUUCCAUCAUCCAUUAAUUACUCACUACAAUAGUGUAUUGGUGAACAAUCUUUUAGGUUCUAAUUAGCAAGGCAGUGAGGUGAUUGGCACCAAUCCAAUUGAUUAUAUUUAAUCCAAUCACUUAGUGAAUUAAAACUUCCUUUCAAUUUACCUUUCUUCUUUGAUGACUACAUUUAAUCAUCUAGAAGAACUCACAAGCUAUGAGUGACAUCUAACCAUAUGUCAUAGCUACCCAAGCUAAUGUAGAAGUUUAUUCGGAGAACCUAUUCAGUUGGAAUUACAAUGUAAUUCAAUCCUUCUCUAAAACAAUACUCUCAAUCACAUUACUAGGGUAUGGAUAUAUUAUGUCAAACCCCUAAUGUGAUUAUUCCUUCUUAUAUGAUUCAAUUGAGUCGUAUAGGAACGCUUUCCUUUAUUACGCUCGAUACUUCGGCCGAAGAUUCCCGAAUCAUAUCUUAGAGUAUUCUUCCUCUCUUAUCGAAGAUUAGAGAUCCCUUGUUGCGCAUACACUUGCCUUCAUGACUAAGUGGCUUAACCCCAAUCAUGCCGUGGACACCCGCGGAUGGGAUGACUUUGACACAAUCAAAGAUUAAGUACUUAGCCACAAGACAACGACGAUGCCUCAGGUUAAAGGACUACUUACAUUAUUCCAACCAUUAAAGUUACUUGCUUGACAUGUGAGUAGACCUCCAUGCAAGUACUCUCGUUCGAUUGCGUUCAGUGAACUCAUUCCCUUAAUGAGCACCUACAUACUAGUCCUAGUGUCACAACACGAAUGGAAUGAGACUUUCCAUCCUUCCAUUUGAAGCGGACACAGUAUGUACCGGUCUACGCAUUGUCAGUGUCCCUCCGACAAUCCAAUGACCAGGAACCUUUUUGGACAUUUGGUUAUGUGAAGAAGGUCUCUGUAAUCUAACAUCAUUAGAUUACUUCUUCAAUUGAUCCAUUGUCCAUGGAUACACUAUUUAGGACAUAUAUCGUUUAUUGAGAUAGUCCUAAUUCGUGUCUUUGGCUUUUGAUGUAUAAGAUUCAUCUAUACAUCCAUUCAUUUGUCCUGAAAGGUUUCUUCCAAAGAUUGACUUUCAGGGCAUAUUUCCAACACCCAUGUGUGUGUGUUUUUCCUUUGCAUUUGCAGACACAUGUUCUUCAUUAUUUCAGCCAACAAUCUACCCAUUUUCUGCCCAUGUGUGUGUGUUUCCUUUGCCCAUGUGUUGCCUUUCUCUUUUUAUUAGCCAAAUCUGCUUAGCCCUUUUCUGACCUUUCAGUGUUACAAUGCCCAUAACUUCUUCUAGAAAACUGAGAUUAACAAUCCGUAAAUUGCUCCAGAAAAUAGACAUCCGUAGCUUUCCACGGAUAUAAGGCUCAUUCUCCCAUUCAUUCUGAGCUGUUUGUAACAUGCUUCCAAAGUCAGAUAAUCUGCACAGGCAGUUUUGACGAAUUUGUUA